UACUGGUAUUGGUGAACAGCGGCGAAUGUGUGUUUCCUGAUAAAAGCUUAAUAAGAAGUCGAAGAUAUAUGAAAUACUGGAAACAUUAUGACUAUAGAUCAAAGAGGCAAGACGAGACAGAAGAAAUAAGAGUUACCCAAGAAUGGAAGCCCGUAGGUUUAAGGGUGUUGAGAGAAAAUAAAAUCGAAAAUGUGUUGACGCAAUAAUAUGAUUCUUACUGAAAAACGUUGAUUGCGUUCAAAUAAACGAACUAAACUUA